rnacentral:other from 1 species
AAAUCCCUGCGGUGUUCGUUGACAUGUAUGAAGUGCCUUGAGCCAACACUCGAGCCUGCGGAGGCCGGGCUCCGCUCCGGCAGAGGAGACGCCCGUUCGUCACCGAAGCUAAGGAGGGGAAGGCUUCCAUUCUUCUAGGGACCGGGUCAAGGCCUUCAUGCGACGGCAUUGCGGGGUUUUU